rnacentral:rRNA from 1 species
AUUGAACGCUGGCGGCAGGCCUAACACAUGCAAGUCGGACGGUAGCACAGAGAGCUUGCUCUUGGGUGACGAGUGGCGGACGGGUGAGUAAUGUCUGGGGAUCUGCCCGAUAGAGGGGGAUAACCACUGGAAACGGUGGCUAAUACCGCAUAACGUCGCAAGACCAAAGAGGGGGACCUUCGGGCCUCUCACUAUCGGAUGAACCCAGAUGGAGAUUAGCUAGUAGGCGGGGUAAUGGCCCACCUAGGCGACGCUCCCUAGCUGGUCUGAGAGGAUGGAAAGCCACACUGGAACAGAGACACGGGCCAGACUCCUACGGGAGGCAGCAGUGGGGAAUAUCGCACAAUGGGCGCAAGCCUGAUGCAGCCAUGCCGCGUGUAUGAAGAAGGCCUUCGGGUUGUAAAGUACUUUCAGCGGGGAGGAAGGCGGUGAGGUUAAUAACCUUGCCGAUUGACGUUACCCGCAGAAGAAGCACCGGCUAACUCCGUGCCAGCAGCCGCAGUAA